rfam:Mesonia phycicola strain DSM 21425 genome assembly, contig: Ga0070602_102
UAACCUCUGGCGAUCGUCGCGAAUGUUG